GUACAGUGCCUGUAGUUAAUACAUACAACACUUAUACAGAAUUAUCACUGAAUCAACAGAUUACAAGUACCAAAAAGAAAAACCAUCAAUCCAAUUCUUGUCAAAGACAAGAAGGUCAAGAGUCGAAGAAAAUAAGUUGCCUCCAAGCUUAUGUACUGAACUAUCUAUAAAACAUAUGAAUGAGAAAAAGUUAUACGUUAAAUUCGAAGUGAAAACAAAAACAACAUGAGACAACCUUUCCCAAACUAUACAAAAGAAAACCUCUAAACUAGAAAGCUACAAACCCAUUCUACAAAGGAUAGGGAUAAUUAUGUUAUAUCCACAAAUAAAACAAAUAUAUUGAAAAUUUGAAGGGAUCCAAAAUGGCCCGGUUAACAUGGUGGGGAAUUCCGCAUGGCCGAUAAUCAUUAACCCCACUUAUCCAUUCCUUGACCAUUUUCUCCUCAUCUUUCAUCUUUCAUACAUCACAAAGCAAAAGGCAGAAACAAUCAAUGCCUGGUCUAUGAUCUACGGAUUCCACCCUAAUCAACUGUAUGACCAUAGUUGCUAACCAUCGAUAGAACUGUCAUGCCACUGCUCCGUUUCUGCAGGUGGGGGGUGCGCUUGACGAACAAAUUGUCCUUUGACUCUGGGCCUUUGCUCAGCAAGUUUUUUCCUACUCUCAUAGCGAACCUUCUUCUCAUAACAUCUAUCUUUCCGCUUCAUGCGAAACUUAGAUAGAGCUGCUUCUCUUUGGAUAGAUCGAUAUGAAUUUGCAUUCUGUAAAACACCUUCAUUUUUUCUCUCAGCAGUAGCCCUGAUCAUAGCAACCUGAUCAACAUUGCUAUUACUUCCAGAAGUGCUUCCAUAACCCAUGUUAAGAUGACUUGCAGCACCAUUACAGAAGCUGCUAGUUGCACUCUGAUCAGUGGCAGGAGAAAUGUGUCCUCGAUCCUCCAAAGAAUCCAACUUGUGGUCCUGUUUUUGCAGAGAUAGAUUGGUGGAAUCAUUUGGAGUUUGACCAAAUUGAUUGUGGAGUUCAGAAUUACUUUUGAAGCUGGACUGAUGAAAUGGAUUUACUUUAGGGCUGGGUUCCAGCUGGCUGCCUGAACUUGGACUCACUAUUGUUGAUGCACCAGAUUGUUUACAGAAAAUUGGAGGAAAUGUGGAACCAUAGCUGGUGCACAGAUUAUUAAAGCUUAUACCAUUAACUGGAAUUUGGAUUGGAAAUACUCUUUGUUGACCGCAAGAACUUGCAAUUUCAGACUCUUUGGUUUGACCAGUAGCCAGAGAAGCGUUAUUUCUUUCAGUAGCUGGACCAGGAGUAUCAGAGUUAUAGUCACUAACAUUGCUGGAUAGUUUUCUCUCAGAAUUAGCUCCAAGUUCUUUCUGAUUAGAAACACUUCCCAACAUUGAAUGUACGUUUUGUAAUGGCCUGUUAGUAUACCGCGUAAAAGCUGAAGCAUUAGAAUGCCUGAGAGUAUGUCUUUCUUCAGUAACUUGAAUCUCAAAGCUACUAGGAUGGCAUCUUGUCAAGCACAGAUCCAAAUGUGGAGAACAAUCAAACUUGCUUUUAGCAUUAUCUAAAGAAGAAUUGUAACCAGCAGAUGUUCCCAUGAAAUCUAUAGCUUCUCUAGACGAGAUGACAAGGACAUGAUUGUUGUCACGGGCCUCACGGGUGACACUAGAAUUCAUUCUUUGACUUUCUGGUUCAACACUCUCAUUGACGGUCAUUCGAUUGGAAUGUUUGCAAGCAACCACAGCUGAUCCCCCAGGUUCACUCUCAUGCAAAAGCAAUAUCUGACUGCAAUCCCUGUGUGCUUCAUGUUUCUGCAUUGGUAUGUCUUUAAGAAAAACUUUGCCCGAUACUGGUUGCAAAAUGUCCCUCGUAUUUUCCAUAGGAGCACUCUCAGCUUCCACAUCUGGCUUUGUGCAAGAGCUCUGAGCAUCACUCCCUUUCUCAAUGAAUUCUUUAUCAUGUUGAAUACAAGCCAUGUCACCACUUGAAUGAUUACUGGCAGCAUUAUUUUCAGAAGUAGCCUCAACCUUAUCUUGCCCAACACUUUCAUCCUGGAGGCCAUUUCCUCCAGCAAGAGAAGAUUGUCUUCUCCAUACAUGCUGCCACAAAUUUCUCAGUUCAUUUAUUCUGAUAGGCUUAACAAGAUAAUCAGAAGCACCUCUCAACAUGCAUUUAUAAACCGUACUAAUUGAAUCCUGUGAGGACAUCAUUAUAACUGGUAUACUUUUGCAAUUCUCAUGCUCCAUAAUUAGAGUAAGAAGGGCAUAUCCUGAUAUUGAAGGUAAAUCCACUUCUGUCAAAAUGAGGUCUAUAUUAUGGGGUCUUCCUUUCAGCAUCUCCCACGCCUUUAAGCCAUCGGGAACAGCCACAACUUUGUAGCUACAUUUCCUAAGUAAAGCAGCUAUAAUCUGCCUAGUAGAAUCAUCAGCUUCAACCAACAAUACUCUCAACACCAUCUUCGGCAACAACUUCUCCCAUCUCACAAACAACCCAUUACCUUCCUUCAUCUCCGACUCGUCUAGUUGCUCUUCGUCAAUUUUCACUUCCUCCUCCUCCCUCUUUCUCAUGCUCUCAGCCUUGAGUUCCAAAUCUUCACCACUAAUCACCACCUCUCCCAUAAUCUCUUCUAA
rnacentral:misc_RNA from 1 species